rnacentral:rRNA from 1 species
UACGUAGGGGGCUAGCGUUGUCCGGAAUCAUUGGGCGUAAAGCGCGUGUAGGCGGCCCGGUAAGUCCGCUGUGAAAGUCGGGGGCUCAACCCUCGGAUGCCGGUGGAUACUGUCGGGCUUGAGUGCGGAAGAGGCGAGUGGAAUUCCUGGUGUAGCGGUGAAAUGCGCAGAUAUCAGGAGGAACACCAAUAGCGAAGGCAGCUCGCUGGGACGUUACUGACACUGAGGCGCGAAAGCGUGGGGAGCGAACAGG